ensembl:misc_RNA Metazoa_SRP Metazoan signal recognition particle RNA
UCCAAGUAGUGUGUGCUUGUAGUCUCAGCUGCUGGGGGUGCUGAGCCCGAUGGAUGGCUUGAGUACAGGAGUUCUGGGGUGCAGGCCACGAUGCUGAGUGGGCAUUCAAGCUAAGGGCAACAUCAAUCUGGUAACCCACAGGACACCAGGUUGGCUAAGGAGGGGUAAACUGACCCAAGUUGGAGAUGGAGUAGAUCAAAGCUCCCAUGGCAGUCAGUAGCAGGAUCAUGCCUGUGAACAGGCCCUGCAGUGUAGCCUGGGCCACACAGAGACGUGAGCUCCU